rnacentral:sRNA from 1 species
UUCGUGACCACGGAAACUCACUGGUACAGUGGGGAGGCCUGUAACCAGGGCACCCAGAAGAGUCUGGUGUAUGGCCUCGUGGGGGCAGGGGUCGUGCUGAUGCUGAUCAUCCUGGUAGCUCUCCUGAUGCUCGUUUUCCGCUCCAAGAGAGAGGUGAAACGGCAAAAGUAUAGAUUGUCUCAGUUAUACAAGUGGCAAGAAGAGGACGGUGGACCAGCUCCUGGGACCUUCCAAAACAUUGGCUUUGACAUCUGCCGAGGUAUUGGCCUUCCUCUCUGAACUCAGAAUGGCUCAAAAUGUGGAAACAGGCUGGGUGCGGUGGGCUCACACCUGUAAUCCCAGCACUUUGAAAGGCCAAGGCAGGAGUAUUACUUGAGGCCAGGAGCUCAAGAUCAACCUGGGCAACAACACAGCAAAACUCUAUCUCUU